rnacentral:rRNA from 1 species
UACGUAGGGUGCAAGCGUUGUCCGGAAUUAUUGGGCGUAAAGAGCUCGUAGGCGGUUCGUCGCGUCGGCUGUGAAAUCCCGAGGCUCAACCUCGGGUCUGCAGUCGAUACGGGCGGACUGGAGUUCGGCAGGGGAGACUGGAAUUCCUGGUGUAGCGGUGAAAUGCGCGGAUAUCAGGAGGAACACCGGUGGCGAAGGCGGGUCUCUGGGCCGAUACUGACGCUGAGGAGCGAAAGCGUGGGGAGCGAACAGG